rnacentral:rRNA from 1 species
UACGUAGGUGGCAAGCGUUGUCCGGAGUUAUUGGGCGUAAAGCGCGCGCAGGCGGUGCGGUAAGUCUCUGGUGAAAGCGCUCGGCUUAACUGGGCGAGGGCCGGGGAGACUGCCACGCUGGAGGGGAGCAGAGGCGAGUGGAAUUCCGGGUGUAGUGGUGAAAUGCGUAGAGAUCCGGAGGAACACCAGUGGCGAAGGCGGCUCGCUGGGCUCUACCUGACGCUGAGGCGCGAAAGCGUGGGGAGCGAACCGGAUUAGAUACCCGGGUAGUCCACGCCGUAAACGAUGGACACUAGGUGUGGGGGGUAUCGACCCCCUCCGUGCCGAAGCUAACGCGAUAAGUGUCCCGCCUGGGGAGUACGGCCGCAAGGCUAAA